rnacentral:rRNA from 1 species
GACGUAGGGUGCGAGCGUUGUCCGGAUUUAUUGGGCGUAAAGAGCUCGUAGGCGGCUCGUUGCGUCGGCUGUGAAAACCCGCAGCUCAACUGUGGGCUUGCAGCCGAUACGGGGCGGGCUGGAGGUUCGGUAGGGGAGACUGGAAUUCCUGGUGUAGCGGUGGAAAUGACGCAGAUAUCAGGAGGAACACCCGGUGGGCGAAGGCGGGUCUCUGGGCCGAUACUGACGCUGGAGGAG